GGUUUGAUCAUGGCUCAGAUUGAACGCUGGCGGGAUGCUUUACACAUGCAAGUCGAACGGCAGCACGGACUUCGGUCUGGUGGCGAGUGGCGAACGGUGAGUAAUGUAUCGAAACGUGCUCAGUAGCGGGGGAUAAUCAUUACAGCGUAGCCAAUACCGCAUACGCCCUUCGGGGGAAAGCGGGGACCUUCGGGCCUCGCACUAUUAGAGCGGCCGAUAUCGAUUUAUUAGCUGGCAAGAAUUGGCCACCAAGGCGACGAUCCGUAGCUGGUUUGAGAGUGACGACCAGCCACACUGGGACUGAGACACGGCCCAGACUCCUACGGGAGUGCUGCAGUGGGGAAUUUUGGGAUAAUGGGGGAAACCCUGAUCCACAUCCCGCGCGGCGAUGAAGGCCUUCGGGUUGUAAAGCACUUUGGCAGGAAAAGAAACGGCACGGGAUAAUACCCCCGUGCAACUGACGGUACCUGCAGAAUAAGCACCGGGCUAACUACGCUCGCGCAGCCGCAGGCAUGUAGUGCAAGCGUUAAUCGGAAUUACUGGGCGUAAAAGCGUGCGCAGGCGGUUCGGAAAGAAAAGGAUGAACUCAGAGCUUAACUUUCUAAACUGCAUUUUGAAUCCACGAGCUAGAGUGUGUCGAGGGAGCGGAAUUCGCGUGUAGCAGCAGGAAUGCGUAGAUAUGCGGAGGAACACCGAUGGCGAAGGCAGCUCUCCUGGGAUAACACUGACGCUCAUGCACGAAAGCGUGGGGAGCAACAGGAUUAGAUACCCUGGUAGUCCACACCUAAACGAUGUCAACUAGCUGUUGGGGCCUUCGGGCCUUGGUAUGCAGUUAACGUACGUGAAGUUGGACCGCCUGGGGAGUACGGGUCGCAAGAUUAAAACUCCAAAGGAAUUGACGGGGACCCGCACAAGCGGUGGAUGAUGUGGAUUAAUUCGAUGCAACGCGAAAAACCUUACCUACCCCAUGUCUGGAAUCCCGAAGAGAUUUGGGAGGCGUUUCCGCAAGAAGAGGAACCGGAACAGGUGCUGGUACGCAUUAUCGUCAGCUCGUGUCGUGAGAUGUUGGGUUAAGUCCCGCAACGAAAGGCAACCCUUGUCAUUAGUUGCUACGAAAGGGCACUCUAAUGAGACUGCCGGUGACAAACCGGAGGAAGGUGGGGAUGACGUCAAGUCCUCAUGGCCUUACAUAGGUCAUAUCACUGGCAUAAUGAGCCGGACAGAGGGUCGCCAACCCGCGAGGGGGAGCCAAUCCCAGAAACCCGAUCGUAGUCCGAUCGCAGUCUGCAACUCGACUGCGUGAAGUCGGAAUCGCUAGUAAUCGCGGAUCAGCAUGUCGCGGUGAAUACGUUCCCGGGUCUUGUACACACCGCCCGUCACACCAUGGAGUGGGUUUUACCAGAAGUAGUUAGCCUAACCGUAAGGAGGGCGAUUACCACGGUAGGAUUCAUGACUGGGGUGAAGUCGUAACAAGGUAACUUGUUAUUACCAUGCCUCCUUAU
rnacentral:rRNA from 1 species